GGGAAUUGGCAUCCUGGGCAGGCAUGAGGGUAGGGAUAUUUGUAGCACAAGAGGAUAUUUGGGCAUUUGUAGCUUCUCAUGGGACACUCAGAGAGAAGCUGCUGCCUCGCCUAAGGUGGGCAGCACUGUGACAUCACCCAAUCCACUGAGGGCCGAACAGAGUAAAAAGGAAGAAGAGCUCAUUUUCUCUCUUCGCGUGAACUGGAAUAUUCAUGUCCUCCUGUCCUCAGACAGCGCUCUUGGUUCCUGGGCCCUCAGCCCUGGCCUGAAUACACUCACCAGACUUCCCAGUUCUCCAGCUGGCCGACAGCAGUCCACGGGACUUUCCAGUCUCCAUAAUUGUGUGCGACAGUCCCUAUAACAAAGAAACAAAUAAAUAAACAAAUAAAUAAAUCCCA